rnacentral:rRNA from 1 species
UACGUAGGGGGCAAGCGUUGUCCGGAUUUAUUGGGCGUAAAGAGCGUGUAGGCGGCCUGGAAGGUCAGCUGUGAAAACUCGAGGCUCAACCUCGAGACGUCGGUUGAAACCACCUGGCUAGAGUCCGGAAGAGGAGAGUGGAAUUCCCGGUGUAGCGGUGAAAUGCGCAGAUAUCAGGAGGAACACCAAUGGCGAAGGCAGCUCGCUGGGACGGUACUGACGCUGAGACGCGAAAGCGUGGGGAGCAAACAGG